rnacentral:lncRNA from 1 species
GUGUUUUGGGGGGGGUCCCGGUGCGCCCCCCCCGCGGCCGUUACCGGUCAGGGGCAGCAGCAGGAGGAGCGCCAGGAGCGCAGCCAUGCCGCUGACGUCACGCCGCGCCCCGCCCACCGCCGGUGACGUCACGCAGGUGCGCGCCACGCCACGCCCCCCCCACCCAUGCCGCCCAGGUGAGCGGCGCGAGGCCCCGCCCACUGCCCGCGAGGCCCCGCCCGGUUUCUGCGAAGCCACGCCCACUCGCGCUCUGGCCCCGCCCCCGGCCUCUGGCGGUAUAACCACGCCCACUUGGUGUUUUGACCACGCCCACUGGGGGGGGGGCACCCAAGCCCCGAGGCAUUUUUGGGCUGAAAACCUGAGGAAAAGGCCAACGGUGCCAGGUGGGAGACGCCGAUUUCGGAAGAGCACGAUGCCAAAAAAACGAGAAACCGACCCAAAACGGCGCGGACGGGGCAGCCGCGGCGCUAUUUACACUUUAUUACACCUCGAAAAACCGCGGAUUCGGUUAAAGCUCUGCAAAAAGAUGCUGAUUUGGGGCUUUCUGUUGUAAAAAGACGGGGUUUUACAAAAAAGCGCGGGUUUUGUACAGGCGGAGGGCACGGGGCGUCGCGAGCACUGAAAACGCCACUUUACAGCUCAGAAUUUACCUUUUUUACCCUUUUUGGCUCCAGAUUGACCUUUUUGAGGCUUUUUGGCUGGAAAUUUACGUUUUUUGAUGCUUAUUGAGGGGGGAUUUUUCGUGGUUGGGGCCAUUUUUGCCCCAAAAUGCUCCUGCAGGUGGAACAGACAUGAGGGAAACGCGGGCGAGACGAAUAAUUUAAUGCCAAGAAUGCAAAUUUUGGGGUGGUUUUGGGGCUUUUCUUCCUUUUUUUUCAGGGAGGGGGCCAGACGCGGAAGUGGCCGGCAGGCAGCCGAACGCUGCCUCCCCAAAACAGCCUAAAAAGGGAUUUUCUUAAAAAAAAAAAAACCACCCCAAACCACACAGUGACGGCCCCCUCCCCAUGAUUACAAAAGCGACCUCAAUUUUAUUUUUUUUUGGCCUUUUUUUUGUGUUUUUGUUAUUUUCCCCCCAUUUUUUCCCCGCGGACGCUUACAAAAGGCUAUGGUACAAAAGCUCUGUGCAAAAAAUCCGGCACUGGCGGCCGCUCCCCGAGUUUAUUUCAUGUAAUUCCCAGGUUCUUGUUGAAGUUUUGGGGUGGUUUUUGCUCUUUUUUCCGUUUUUCAGGAGGAUUUCCCCCCAAAAAAGCCAAAGCGGCCGCCGCAUCCCGGGGGGGCCACGCGGGGUUAUGUACAGGGCAGUGCGGAGAAAGCCGGCGGUAAAUGGUUAAAAUAAGGGAAAAUGAACAAAAAAAAGGGGAAAGUGAACCAAAAAAAGGGAAGGUGAACAUAAAAAAAGGAAAAAAAAAA